rnacentral:rRNA from 1 species
UACGUAGGGAGCGAGCGUUGUCCGGAAUUACUGGGUGUAAAGGGAGCGUAGGCGGGAUCGCAAGUCAGAUGUGAAAACUAUGGGCUUAACCCAUAAACUGCAUUUGAAACUGUGGUUCUUGAGUGAAGUAGAGGUAAGCGGAAUUCCUAGUGUAGCGGUGAAAUGCGUAGAUAUUAGGAGGAACAUCAGUGGCGAAGGCGGCUUACUGGGCUUUAACUGACGCUGAGGCUCGAAAGCGUGGGGAGCAAACAGGAUUAGAAACCCCGGUAGUGACUGACU